AGCUCCUGUGUUGAAGCAUCGCCCAAGAGAGACUGCCAUCACUCGUAAGUCCUCACAGAAGCUUCAAGCUUUAGAAAAGACCAGGCACUUUCCUCGGGUUCGUUAGUUUCCGCGGAAGUUAGUUUGAUCUGGUGCGCAUUCGAAAAUGUAUUCAAAUCAUGUAGUAAAAUUUUUCGCUAGCGUUGUUUUUCUAUAUCAGUUAACCUAGAGUAUUGUUUCACUUGAUGUAUAUUCGGAGGUUUAGGAUUUCUCUGGUAGCCUGUUUCUUCUCAACUCUCUCAUUAUCGUUAGAGCUUUUGUUGAACAGUUAUUCUAAUGUCAGAGUAUCACUGAUUUAUUGUUUAGAUUUAGCAAUUACAUGGAAGGGAUGCUUUUUCAUGGCGCUAAAAUUUUUGUCGGGGAAAUUAUAUGUGCGCGCCAGCGUGCGCAUGUCAUGAGAGAGGAAAAUGAAGCUUUUCUGUCUGUUUGACAUUAUCUAUCAAUUUUUUUUUUUUUUUUGCUUUUCUUUUCCUUCAUCUCUGACCGUCCCAAAUGUUUUCCUCAUCAGAUGGGAGAGGGGCGUCUUUGAAUUAGCUUUAUACUCAUUAUCAGGAAACUUUGGGUGUGCAGGGAGAAAGGACAUAUAGUAAUAAUAGUAUAGUGUUAGUGUUUCACUUCAUGUGGGACUGCGUGAAGUAGUGUGAUUUUCUCUUGCAUAUCUUUGGUCUUGAUUGAUGAAGAGUAUAAUUUCAUACUCAUAUUUUAUGAUGCUAACUAGAAACUUCUUGAUUGAAAUCAAACUAAUUAAAGUUGAUGGCAUACCAAUCGAAAAUGAUCUCAAAUCUGCUUGUCAUUCUUAAUCUUUGCAAAGUUUAGCGGUUAUAAAUUUUGUUAUGACCAAACCACUAUUCAUGUACAAGUAAUUCCAUUUAUUGUAUAUUACAUGGUGUAAUUGGCAAAGAAAAAGGAGCUUUGAAAAUCUGUCGUAUUACUUUUUUUUUUUUUUUAAUCCUGAACUCUUAUUUCUCCUUUCAUUUUGACAUUUUUUUAAUCUUAGACUUUCUCCCCAACUACUGUCAUCUAAGAUGUCAGUAUAUGAAGCUACCUUCUAUGAGGAUGAUGACAUUUGCUUGUGAAUUUUACUGUUUAAGCACUAAAUAUCAGGUCCUUGAGUGAAUGGCAAACCAGUCAGAGCCUUUGGUAGUUUUCUCUGAUUUGUGGUUAAUUUUAUGCUCCGAACUUGUCAGAAAUAGUAUUUGGGUGGGAAGGUGGUAGUGCCUUAAAAUUUGGGGUUUGUUUUCUGAGUUUUGGUUUAUUGAUUUCCCAAAUCCAGUUAUGCCACUCUCGUUUAAAUAUCUGAAGUGAUAUGUCCUUGCCUUCUAGGCUAAUUCUCAUUUCUUUACUCUUUCUAGCAUAUAUUAUAUAACAUGGAUCAUAUUUUGAGGACUAGAUGCAAGAAUGGCUGAUUGCUAUGUCGGCCUGUGGAACCAAGCUAUUAAAGCAACCCUUCUUGUUUGUAAAAUUUAUGCAUACAAUUUUUUUCUUUUGGAAAUUGAUUUGGUAUCAUCUGAGUAUAAUUGCUCAUAAUAAUGUACCACGUACAUCUCAAAAAUUCCACCUAUCAUAUAUUAACUUACAGCAUUUGUGACUGCAGUUAUCCAACAUUUGUGACCGCAGUUAUCCCUUGAGAUUACAGAUAUUGAAGAAAGCAAACUAUGUAUAAGUUUGAUGAUCUUUCUGUUAACUCUGAACUAGCCCCAACAAAAAUACGAUGCUAGGGCUGGUAUAUUUUAAGAAGUUAAGGAAUGGAUGAAAAUUCACAUAUAACUUCUAAAAGGGAAUAUCUAAAAACUCUGCUUUAUGCUCCAAAGCCAUGAUUUAUUGUGUUAAAUCUUUUCCUUUUUGAAAUAAUCAUAUACAUUCUAAAUCUUAAGAAGGUUUUAUCAUUUCUUUGUCUAUAUGACAUGCGGAGUUGCUAAAAGUGUGGGAAAGUUGGUCUACCUUAGUCUUCAAUUCAAAUAAGUUUAUUGAUGUCUCAUUUCUCUGUUGCUUCCUCUUUUUUGUUCUCUUGCAUCGAGGUCUUACAUUUCUGCUGCCAUUUCAAUCAUAAGCUUGCAAUUGUGAAUGGCAUACAUCUAUUGCUAGCCAAUAUCUCUGUAGAUGAAAGGUUUUUGUCAUUUGCACAAGACAGUCCCUCUAUCUUGUUGCAGGUGAAAUUCAUGUUGCCAAGCAUCAUGAUCAAAAAUUGCUAUUGAUUGCCGAAGCUAGUGCUCUACACCUCAUUCUCCAUUGAUUAAUCAUUUAAUCUAGCUCCUAAAGUUGGCUUGGUUUUCCCUGUUCUGGAUUUACAUGGACCCCAUACUUCCAAGCACUCUUUCCUCUCUCGUUUAGAUUCAUCUGGGCACCAGCAUCCUCUAGGAUUUAUUCAAACUCCAUAUUCUAUAAGGUUAGUUGGGCUCCUCUAUCGUUCAUUGGCUCCUUUAGUGUUUCUUCAAUAUUCUUAGAUUGUGAAGACCACCAUCACGAUGCAUGAUUGAACAAUCCACAUGAGAAGAUAUAUGAUGACUUGUUUCUGUUCGGACCAAAUUUCAUGGGAUAUGACAAUCAGCGAAAAAUCUGGAAGAGUCAUCAUCCAUUUACUGGUCAUGCUCUGAUAAGUGUGACAUCUUUGUGCGUGCGUGCGUGUGUGUUUUAUGACUCCUCCAUCUGCCAUUGGGAUGAAAGCGUGGCAAAAUACAAUCGUGUAGUAUUUAUUAGGAUAGCAUUGUUAUGUUUAGAAUUUUUAUUGAGGUGAAAGUGAAUUUCCUUUUUACACUAGAAAUUUAUUAAGUUGCAUUUCUGAUGCUGGAAAUCCAGUUACCACUGCUUUAAAGAAGGAUGUUUGACCGAUUUCAACUAAGUAAAAGAUUUAACUAUUUAAGUUUAGUUUUAAGAUAUUUGCUACUAGGUUAUGUCUACAAAAGAACCUGAUAGCAAACACUAAAGGAGUUUAUGAAUGUUUUGCUUUGAUUGUAAGCUUUGGAUUGAGGAGAAUGAACGUAAAGGGAAGGGAUGAGAACUUCUCAACACUUUCUUUUUUUGUUUAAGAUUUAUAUGAUUAUUUUGUUCCAUCCAUUUACUUUAUAUUUUUUCCAGUAUAAUCCAUCCAAAAGAAUAGUCAUUUCUGCAAACUUUUCAAAACAAGCCACUGACGACAUAAAUCAAUGUUCCUGUCCUUUGUCGGUCAGUCUCAUUCGUAAAUUUUGGACCAAAUGAUUGCAAUUUUUGGUUUCUCUUCUUUCUCUGCUGUGGAGUACUUUUGGAGAAGGGUCAGAUCAAGGAACAAGCCAAACUUGCAGUCCCAUUCAAUAAAGAAAAGAAGAUUGAAUUGUGGUUUUUAGGAUAGAUGGUAUUGUUAUUACGUGAUUCAUAUUUUUUGGGAUAGGAUGCCUGUACUGCAUGUCUGCAUCACAUUGUAUUUCCUUUAUUUAUUUGUUUUAUUAUUAUUUUGACUCGUGAUAUUAUUCUUUUAUGAGAAAGCCCGCAAUCUUGAAAUUUUAAAAAAGCAGAUCUCGUGUAACAUCUGCUAAUAACUUUUCCAAGUGCGUAGAUUGGGACCACGAAGGAUACUGCUAUACUGCAUCAUGGUAAGAUUACCAACCACGUAAAAUCAUCAAAGCCAUAGGGGGAAAAGAAAGAAAAUACAAUUGUUGUCAUUUCUUGAAGUUGUUAAAUACAUUCUUUGUGCUAAGUCAUUGUACAGAGCAUUAAUAGAAGUUUAUUAAAAUAGGUAUGUCGCCAAACUUUCACUUGUAUUACUUAUUGUGAAGAUUGCUUGUUAGCUCUUUACAUACUGCAAGUUGUAUGACACGUAGUAUGAAUAUCAAGAAAAUAUUGUUUCUACUUUCUAUACAGUUUUCCGUGAAGUGUAUACAUUUCACCUCGUGUUAUUCUUGUGUUACAUUUGUUAAAGAAUAUUGUAUUUCUGACAUCUGCUUCAAUCUUUAAUUUUGAGCUGAGGAUGACAGAGGGUUCAAUUUUCUACAAUAUCCAGUGUUUAUUUGUAAAAUAAAAGACUGAUGUAUCUUAAUUUAAAUUAGAAAGUAAAAGCUUGAUAUGACUGGUAACAACUGCAUCAGUAUCGUAUCAGAUAAUUUUGUGGUAUACCUGUUAACGUAAUCCGACACACUUGACUGUAAUAUGAGUGAGUUAUUUAGACGUUUGACAUUAAAACUAUGCGAUAUAUCUUAAAAGUAACAGUAAGUUAAAGAAAAAAGCGAACAAUUGAAAAUGAAGGAAGUGGAUUGAUAUAUUAUUUCCAUUCAUUCAUUUAUUGCUAAUUUUGAAGGUGCUGUGUUUCUGUACAUUUUACGUUUAUGCAGAUUGUGAGAAGAGAAAAUGGCAUUAGAGGGAAUGGAGAAUCAGAAAGACAGUAACAGAAAGUGAAGGUGUUGGAGAAUAGAUUGAUUGCAUUGCAGAAAAAAAAAUAAAAAAUAAAAGGGGUCGGUGAGGCUGCUGCCUUUUAUGGUGAUUUCAUUUUUCAACUUUAUGAGAGGUCUACUUUAGGCACAGCAAAUGAUUCUGUUGGAAUGCUUGUGUCUGUGUGUGAUAUAUAUAUAUAUAUAUAUAUAUAUUAUGGAAAAGCAUGAUGAUGUAGCAUUUGGUCCCAUUUCACAUGCUUGUUUGUGUGGAUGUGGAUAACAAAGAACAAUAAUUAUUGUGAGGACGUCAUCUCAUGAAUUGUGGAUGAUGAUUACAUAUGAUUUUGCAUCAGUAUGGAUCACUUUGGAAAGAUUGGGUGGUUCUAAUUUGGCCUAACAACAAUUCUGUACAUGAUAGCAACUUUCUUUUACUUCA